UACGAAGGGUGCAAGCGUUGCUCGGAAUUAUUGGGCGUAAAGGGUUGGUAGGUGGUCUUGUUUGUCUAAGGUGAAAUCCCAUGGCUUAACUGUGGAAGUGCCUUAGAAACGGCAAGACUAGAGUCCUAGAGGGGGAUGGAAUUCCGCGUGUAGCAGUGAAAUGCGUAGAUAUGCGGAGGAACACCGAUGGCGAAGGCAAUCCCCUGGACCUGUACUGACGCUCAUGCACGAAAGCGUGGGGAGCAAACAGG
rnacentral:rRNA from 1 species